GGAUUCGAACCCAAGACAGCAAGGGGAAGGCGUUAGUACAGCCAACGCUCUAGCCAACUGAGCUACUGAAGCCUUCUCCUUGCUGGCGUGGGUUCGAAUCCCACCGAGGCCG
rnacentral:tRNA from 1 species